GACGAACGCUGGCGGCGUGCUUAACACAUGCAAGUCGAACGGAAAGGCCCUGCUUUUGUUGGGUGCUCGAGUGGCGAACGGGUGAGUAACACGUGAGUAACCUGCCCUUGACUUUGGGAUAACUUCAGGAAACUGUGGCUAAUACCGGAUAGGAGCUCCUGCUGCAUGGUGGGGGUUGGAAAGUUUCGGCGGUUGGGGAUGGACUCGCGGCUUAUCAGCUUGUUGGUGGGGUAGUGGCUUACCAAGGCUUUGACGGGUAGCCGGCCUGAGAGGGUGACCGGCGACAUUGGGACUGAGAUACGGCCCAGACUCCUACGGGAGGCAGCAGUGGGGAAUAUUGCACAAUGGGCGGAAGCCUGAUGCAGCAACGCCGCGUGCGGGAUGACGGCCUUCGGGUUGUAAACCGCUUUCGCCUGUGACGAAGCGUGAGUGACGGUAAUGGGUAAAGAAGCACCGGCUAACUACGUG
rnacentral:rRNA from 1 species